rnacentral:lncRNA from 10 species
UGACAAAGUGGACCACUUUAAACCAGGUCUUGUCUAGGAAAAUCAUAAGCAACUCAGCCCAGGCUUUACAAGUUGGCAAUACAGAUUUCCACAAGAGAGCAGCACGUCCUCAGUUUUGAAAAGUACGUUGGUGUGUUUUGCUUCCGUUCUCCACUCCAGAUUUUUUUUUCCUUUCAUACCAAUGGCUGCUAAACACAAACAUGUUUGGCUUCAUCUGGGAACACUGAUGUGAACAGAAUACAUUCCUCCUCUAUGCAGGCACAGGAAUGAAGAUGGAAAUUUAACGCAAAGCAUCCUGGUCCUUGCUCAUUAUGAUUCUGUAAAGUCCUGCCAUUUAGGAAAUGUGUCUCAAUUUCUGUGGAGAUGAAGCAGGAAGUGCCUGAAGCCAUGUCAGGGUCUGGCCAUGGCUGCUAUUCACUUAAUCCCUGAAGCCCAGUGAGUAUACUGAUAUUGUCAUUGACAAUUUACUCUUGCGGUAUUUUUCUGCUAAACUGAGAGGGAUUUUGUCACUGGUGCACUAUCAAAAAUACAUGAAGGACUUGCCCCUUAUUAAGAGAUGCCAUGUCAGUUGAGGUCACAUUUAUAAUGAAACCCCAGCAAUGAGGAGUCUCCAUCCCUCACAGGAAACAAGGAAAAAAGCAGAACUCUUAAAUUGCUCUAUGCUGCAAGGAGGAUUAGCCUCCUCCUGGGGAAAAUGUAGUGGGCUGUCAUGCCAUUUUGUUCAAAGGAUUUCCCCUUCUUCUCGCUGCCUUGAACUCCUUGUCAUCGUCUCUCCCCUCACCCUGCCCCACCAGCAUCCCCAAUGCACGGGCACGGCCCCCAACCCCUUUGGCAAUCUUCUUCAUCCCUUUUAUUUCAUAAGAAUUUCUUUUCUUUUUCCAGUGUCCUAGAUGCUAUAAUUCAUUCUGCAUUAGGUGGGGAUUACUGAUUGACUCCCGAGAAGUCUGGAAAGUUAGACAUUGAUAAAUCAGGUAGUUCUUGGGUUAAGAAGGGUGUCAUACAUGCUGCCAGACUUGAUACUAGGUAUGCCAGCUAAAUUUUCCUCUUCAAUUUGAAAGUCUCUCAAAUCCCACUGAAGUGGUAGACUAUAUGCAUUAAAAACAAAACUUGAUUGCUGUUCAUCAAGUUUGAAAGAAUAUAGGUUUCCACCCUUGGGCAUUAGACAUAUGAAAUGGUUAUGAGUGGGGCAGCCAACCCUAGACAAAACCAUAGGAAUGGGAAUCCUGUCACUGCCCCCUCCGCCACAAUUACCCUUGUCAGCCCCCUCUCCCGAGGCACCUUUUCUUCCCCAUUCUUCCUCUGGCUGGCUAUCUGUUGCCAGUUAAGGGAUUAUUAACGUUAUUUUAAAUUGGAAACAUUUUCAGACAGGUUUGCAACUGAAAAGUGAGAAUCAAGAAAGUUCUUCCAUAUGGCCUUUGGAAGUCUGCUUACCUGAGUUCUAAAUAAAAUCUCCAAAACAACUUCAAGGAUGUUGUUUGUAAUUAGGGACUUUCAAGGAGGUUAGGAGCUUCUCCAUGUUGUCCUCUUUCUUUACUUUAACAGACUGUUCCUAAUGAAAUACCUGUCCUUUUGCUAAAAUACCUUGAACUAAGAUAUUAAUAUUAAGAGAUUAAGUAACAGUGCUUCAAGAAAUAGAAAAAACCAUUCUGUUAAUGCCACAAAUAUUCCCCUCCCAACUUUUUGGUUGUCAAAAUCACCUGCUCUUACUAGAUAACACCUAGACUUUUCUAAACCAUUUACAAGACACAUUAACAAAGUGUCUUGGAAGCUGUGUCUCACCUCCCAGUUGUCAGCCCGGAGACUGCCCAAUAUCCAAUGUCAAGGGAUGCAAAGUUUGAUUCUUAUCUACAAGUCUUGGCCUUCCUAACCUGAUAACAGCCAUGUUCUCUCUCAAUAUUUAUAUUCUUACAUUUGCUAAGGCUCUUAAUUGAGAGCAACAAAAUCAGGCUUAACAGAAGAAAAUAAAAUUUUUGUUAAGAUGUGAAAGUGUCUUGCAGAAACUAAGGAAGACUUGACCAGCAGACCAAGGUAAGGGCAGAAACUCAGACGGUAGAUGGGCCUCAAGAAUGGCAUUAGGAUCAUGGUAGGUCUCGCACCCCCGUCUCUGCUGUAUAUGUUCUUCAAUCAUAUUCAUUCUCUCUCUCUCCCUCUCUCCUCCCCACCCCUCUCCCCCCGCCCCUGCUUCUCUCUCAACUGGCAUUGUUUUCUCUAUUCCUUAUGGCAGAAAAAUACGAUAACUAAGCGGUCUAAAUUUUAUACAGUAUAGGUCUGUCAUCUUGACAAAGACAGAAUCAUCCUCAGAACAAGUUUUAAAAUGCAGACAAAUGCUUUGGCCUAUACAAAUAUCUUAAUUUGGGGAUAUAAAUUGUGUUCAGAAGAUGUACUCAGAUGUUAGUGCACCCUGGAACAUGGUGGCCAAAAAAGGUCAAGAAACGGAAUGAGUACUUGUGAUCAGCUGAAUAAUAAUCACCAAAAAUGUUGUUACCUUAUUUGGCAAAAGUAACUUUGCAGGUGUGAUUAGGUUAAGGCUCUUGAGGUGGGAAGAUUAUCCUGGAUUAUCCACUGUGCCCUAAAGGUAAUCACAAGUGUCCUUAUAAGAGACAGGCAGAGUGAGAUUCAGUUUUAGCAGAGAUGAAAGCAGAAAUUGGAAGGACGUUCUUUGAAGGUGGAGGAAGAAACAACAAGCCAAGCAAUACUGGAGUCUAAAACAUGCAAGGAAACAUAUAUUCCUGGAGUGUGCACAGACCUACUGAUACCUUGAUUUCAGCUUAGCGAAAGCCAUUUCUUUUUUGUUUGUUUUUUGUGAGGCUUUGUUGUUGUUGAUUUUUUCAUGUGAAAGCCAUUUCUGACUCCUGUUCUACAUUACUGUAAAAGAAUAAAUGUGUGUUUUAGGCUAUCAAGUUUGUGGUAUUUUAUUAGAGCAGACAUAGGAACCUAAUUUAGUAAUUCUUUAAAAUACAAGAAUGGGGCCGGGAGUGGUGGCUCACACCUGUAAUCCCAGCACUUUGGGAGGCCAAGGUGGGCGGAUCGCCUGAGGUCAGGAGUUCAAGACCAGCCUGGCCAACAUGGUGAAACCCCAUCUCUACUAAAAAUAUAAAAAUUAGCUGGGUGUGGUGGUGGGUUCCUGUAAUCCCAGCUACUUGGGAGGCUGAGACAGGAGAAUUGUUUGAACCCAGGAGGCAGAGAUUGCUGUGAGCCGAGAUUGUUCCACUGCACUCCAG